GAGAGAGAGAGAGAGAGAGAGAGAGGAAAGAAAGAAAGAAGUUAGGCAUUUUGAUCACCAUCUUCAGUGAAAACGUUUUCUUCAAAGUUUCAGGCAUGAAGAGACUGAAUACUUUGCUCAGCGGGAUCAGUGUAAACCACAGAAGGCCAGUUUUGGCAGCUAAACACUUUUUGCACAUGGGCACGCGUUUGAGGAGCUAAACAUUUUGCAUACGAACGUAUCUUUUAGCUAGGACACCGGGAUUUAAGCUUUUCUGCCAAACACAGGAGUUGUUAAUGGACGUAUAUUCACUGGUGUCAACACGGACACAUAUUUUGCACUCUUCUGAUUUGCAUGUCACCCUUCAGCAGUGACAGCGGAGUGGGGACGCUCAGGUGGCACGCGGCGGAUACAGAAACUACAACUCCCAGCGGUGGCCAUGGUAGCAAUCAGGCCCCGCCCAGCGGCCUGCGCUCCGGGGUAGGUCUCGGUUUAGGUCCCGGCUCAGGUCCCAGAGCUCUGAGUCACAAGGCCGGUAGACAGGGGAGCCCAGCGGGCGAGCAGCAUGGAGCCGCGCGCCGGGGACGGCUGCUUCCUGGGAGAUGUGGGUUUCUGGGUGGAGCGCACGCCCGUUCAUGAGGCGGCUCAGCGGGGUGAGAGCCUCCAGCUUCAGCAGCUGAUUGACAGUGGAGCAUGUGUUAACCAGGUCACUGUGGACUCGAUCACACCCCUUCAUGCAGCAAGUCUGCAGGGCCAGGCCCAGUGUGUGCAGCUGCUGCUAGCAGCUGGUGCCCAGGUGGACGCACGCAACAUUGACGGCAGCACCCCUCUUUGUGAUGCCUGUGCCUCAGGCAGCAUUGAGUGUGUGAAGCUCUUGCUGUCCUAUGGGGCGAAAGUCAACCCUCCUUUGUACACAGCAUCCCCGCUACACGAGGCCUGCAUGAGUGGGAGUUCUGAAUGCGUGAGGCUUCUUAUUGAUGUUGGGGCCAACCUGGAAGCCCACGAUUGCCAUUUUGGGACGCCUUUACAUGUUGCCUGUGCCCGGGAGCAUUUGGACUGUGUCAAAGUGUUGCUCAAUGCAGGAUGAGCCUCUGGAAAUCUAGGGACCUACGAGAACAGACUACAGCGUUCCUGAGAACAAACAUUUAACCUGUUGAGAAGCCCUUUACUUUGCUGUGUGGGCCAAUGUGAACGCAGCCAAACUUCAUGAGACUGCGCUUCAUCAUGCAGCCAAGGUAAAGAACGUUGACCUCAUCGAGAUGCUCAUAGAGUUUGGAGGCAACAUCUAUGCCCGGGACAACCGGGGCAAGAAGCCCUCGGACUACACGUGGAGCAGCAGCGCCCCGGCCAAGUGCUUUGAGUACUAUGAAAAGACACCUCUUAGCCUCUCCCAGCUCUGCAGGGUGAGCCUGAGGAAGGCCACCGGUGUCCGAGGACUAGAGAAAGUCGCCAAGUUGAACAUCCCUCCCCGGCUCAUCGACUACCUUUCCUACAACUGAGCUGCAGGCAGGGGCCGGAAAGGCUGAUGGCUGGCCCAGUUAUCACCUUGCUUUGCCUAGCCCUGGGCAUGGUAUGAGUUCUGCCUGUUUCUCUGAAACACUAACAUUGCUGUAGAUUGGUUGAUGCUCCUUCAUGUUCCUUCUGGUUGUCCUUUUUGAUGUCUUCUUCUGAACCCAGAGAAGAUCUCUGAAGCCCCAGAAGGCCAGUGUCUGGCAUCACAGUUGUGGAUGUAACCCUUGCUAGUCUCCUGGAACAAAUGUAGUCAUUCUAGGACAGGCUCAGUUCUCUGUGUUUCUCUUUUCACCGGCCACCCUCAAAUAGAGACAGUUCAAGGUGCACAGGGGAAUCUGGGGGCUCAGAAUGCUGAUGUCGAUGGUUUUUAUCUGGGUGCCAUGCCACAGAAGCAUCAGGUUCUAAGCACUUGACCCUGUGGACUGGGACACUACUCUGCUGGCAUCGUGCCAUUUGGAUGGUUUUUCUGGGGCAGCAGCUGGCACUUUCCAAGGUCUACCUGUACCCAGGUAUAUCACUCAGGGGCUUUACAGAUCAGAGUUUGUACCCCCACAUCAAGCACUGUUUUGGGGGGGGGCGGGGAUGACUGUCUCCAAUAUUAGGACUCAAAUCUGUUAAAAAAAGUUUAUGUUGGGAGCCUGGAGAGAUAGCUUGGGGCUAGAGUUUAGUUUCCAGAACCCACAUAAGGCAGCUUACAAUGGCCCAUUACUUCAGCUCCAGGGGAUCCAACACCCUCUUCUGGCCUCCUCAAGCACUCAGACAUGUAUGUGUAUACACACACACACACACACACACACACACACACACAGAGAGAGAGAGAGAGAGAGAGAGAGAGAGAGAGAGAGAGAUAAAUAAAAUAAAAUCUUUUAAAAAGUUGGAGACCCUUUAGAUUAUAUAUAGAUGUGUAUAUAUAUAUAUAUACACAUACAUUCAUGUAUAUGCUGUAACAAGAUUUGCAAUGCAAACAAUAUAAACAAUAGCUAAUAUGAAAGUGCAAAACUUUAUCCAGAUGGGAAUGAGAUUCUUUAGCCAAAGCAGAAAAAGGGGUCACAAUUUCUUCCUAUAGUAAUAACAAUGAGUCCUGUACAUUGUGGGUGAAAUACUAAGUCUUGCAUUCAGACUGAAUUUUCCGGAUUGACAUUCUAUAUUUUAACAAUACUGAUAAUACCCCACAUACAAUAGAAAGAAUUAGAGAAUUUUCCAGUAGUCAUUCUCUACUGAGAAAAGCCACCUUCCUUCUGUCAGUCUCUGGUACAAGUUCUGAGGAAAUCCAUGUUUUUGCAUGGAAUAGUAAUAGCAGUUAUUUUCAGAAAGGCACUGGAGUCUGCCUCUUUCGUCUUUGUAACAGAAUCUUGCCUCUAGCAAUAAAACCCAAUAACAGCCCAUCUGCUAUAUCUUUUGGUAGAGAAUAAGGUUUUCUCACCAUUAUUGUCCAAUAAAAGUGGUUGGAUGAAGUUUGUCCCUGUGUCUUAUUUUUGGGGACAGUUAUGCCAGGACAGGCUUCAUACUGUGUGAGAUGAGAGAAGUUACUCCUUGUCCUAGGCACCUGAUGACUAGGAUUUGGGUCCUUGUCCACUCUUGCUUUUCCUUUCUUCUUUUGAGAUAGGGUCUCACUAUGUAGCUCUAGAUGUCCUGGAACUCACUUUAAACCGGGCUGGCUUUGAACUCAAAGAGAUCUGCCUGCCUCUGUCUCCUGAGUGCUGGGAUUAAAGCAUACACUACAACACCUGGCUCCUAUGUCCAUUAUUAAGCGGGGCUAUGGUGAUAAAAAAAAGUUUCUUUGCUUCUCUGGGCCCGAAUUGUCUUAGGUAUAAAGUUGGAAUAACCGGUCAGGCUUAGAUCACAAUUGAUCUUGACCGUAUCAUUGGCUGAUCUCUUUAACCUCCAGGUGAGGGAUGAGAGCCCUUAUCCUGUCCUAGGCUUUUGUGGGGCUGAAGUUAGGUGAUUAAAGGCUGCUUUGAUAAGGUCAGAGUGCUCCUCAUGCAUGAAAGGCAUACGGUUGUAAUUGCUCUCUGGUCGUGUUGAUGUUUGCAGAUCUUACACCUGUAUAAAUCAUUCUCUUCAGACCUUGGGAGGGUGCCAUAUAUUUCAUAGGGGUACUGUUGAUAUCUUGAAACUCAAUUCAAGUUCUGUUGACAGUUUGGAGAAGACAUUUGUAAUAUAUACAAUAAGGAACGUAUUCAAAAAUAUAAAACUAGCUGACUAUGGUAAAACUCUAGGAGUUUGAAGCCAGACUACAUAGUCAAUAUUACAUCAUGAGACCCUGUCUCAACACACACACGCACACGCACACUCUCAUGCCAAACCCCACACGCACUACCUCCCCCACAGGACCCCUCCACUUCCCCCCCUCACAUAAAUACCACACACCACACAUGUAUGCACACCCCUCUGUGUGGUGUACCCCCUGAAAUAUAUGAUACCCUCCCAAGGUCUGAAGAGAAUAAUUUAUACAGGUGUAAGAUCUGCAAAUGUGAACAAAACCAGAGAGCAAUCAUAACCAUAUGCCUUCCAUGCAUGAAGGGCACUUUAGGCUUAUCACCACCCCACUGCAUGCAUGUGCACUGCAUGAGUGUGCAAGCGCGCGCGCGCGCACACACACACACACACACACACACACACACACCACACAUACAUACCACACACAGCACACACACACACCACACUCACCAAAGACACACAUACACCACUCACCACAUCCACACACUUACUAUACACAUACCAAACACAUUCACCACACAUAUAUAUCACAUAUACACAUCACACACACACACAUAGACACGAAUCACACAUAUACACCAUACCAUACUCCCUUACAUCACAUACACACACACAUAGCACAUACACACAUAUAUAUAACCACACACACAUUCACCAUAAACACACAUACACACACCAUACACACUGUACACACUCACCGUACACACACACUCAUCAUAUACACACACACUCACCACACAUUCAACACACACACACACACAGACAGAGUAAAGAACACAUGGCCUCAGAAGGCAUUUUUUUCCGAUGCUGUAAAGCUGCCUGGCACUGCUGGAGCUCGCCUCAGCGGCUGCACUCACUACGCUGCCUGUGACCCCAGAUAGCUAUGAAAACCAAGCCAUAGCGUGUGUGUGCGCGCGCGUGCGGAUGGUAAGGAAAGCCCAUGAAGUAAUGUAUGAAAUGCCCUAGUUGUAAUUGGCUGAAUUUAGUUUAAAAACCUCCGGUCUAGCACAGCAACUCGCUCAUAUCCCAGGGCCCAACAGAGAAACAUCGUGCCAAGAGAUAAUUCACACGGACUCCACGCGGACACCUGCCAGAGGACAAGCCUGCUCCGCUGUGGUUCCUCUCCAGAGGAUGGAAAGCAGGAAAGAGAGUUGCCACUGAUCCAGGCCAUGCCAGCCAGAUCCGAAAGGGUAGUGAAGAGUGUGUGAGUGAACGAGUGCAGGCCCAUUUCACCAUUUGUUUGCUUAUUGCUGUUUAUGAAUAAAUAAACUGUUAGAACCUC